UACGUAGGGGGCGAGCGUUAUCCGGAUUUAUUGGGCGUAAAGGGUGCGUAGGCGGUAUGUUAAGUCUAAAAUCAAAGCCCGAGGCUUAACCUCGGUUCGUUUUAGAAACUGGCAAACUAGAGUGCAGUAGAGGCAAGUGGAAUUUCUAGUGUAGCGGUUAAAUGCGUAGAUAUUAGAAGGAACACUAGUGGCGAAGGCGGCUUGCUGGGCUGUAACUGACGCUGAGGCACGAAAGCGUGGGGAGCAAAUAGG
rnacentral:rRNA from 1 species